AAACUGAUGUCCUAAUUGGCUGCUUUUGGUAUAAUUUCCACUAUGCUAGUACUUUUUAUAAACUGAGCUGUUUGUUGCAUUAAUUGAUAUAAAUACUUAUAUACAUUUACUGAUGGACACCUAAUCUUGGGUGCUGCUUUGUGUGUGUAUACUCACUGACAUGUGCAUGUGUGUCGUGUAGUUGUUGUUUGAUUUGUAGCCAGUGAUGCAGUUUUGUUGUUGGUUGCCGUCAGUUACCGUCAGUUAUCGUAUAUAUCUUUGGAUCAACUAUAAAAUUAAUAGACAUCUGAUCAGUUUUCAUAAUUAGACUAUAGGGCACCUGAACCAUUAUAAUUGUAGGAAAGUUUUAAGUAAUUGUAGGAGCUAGUAUAACAGAAUGAAGGAGUGUGUCAACUUUGCGCUUCUUUUCUUGUUCUUCAUCAAUCUUCUAGGCUUCGGAGAAUGUGGUUGUGGAUACUACAAUCCUAAUUCUAACUUGCUGCAAUGGAGUUGUUCAAUUCAAAACUUCAAGUAGUACAUCUUGCUGUGGUAGUUGUGCUUAUGAUGAUCAUUCUAAAGUUUGCUGCAAUGGAGUUGUUCAAUCCAAGACUUCAAGUAGUACAUCUUGCUGUGGUAGUCGUGCUUAUGAUGAUC